AGGGUUUGAUCAUGGCUCAGGACGAACGCUGGCGGUGCGCCUUAUGCAUGCAAGUCGAGCGAAGCUUUUCAGUAGUUUACUACAGAAAAUGACUGAGCGGCGAACGGGUGAGUAACGCGUGAGCAACCUACCUUAGUUACUGGGAUAGCCCGAGGAAACUCGGAUUAAUACCGGAUAUUCUUAUUUAAUCACAUGAUUUUUUAAGGAAAGGUCAGCCGAACUAAGAUGGGCUCGCGUUCUAUCAGCUAGUUGGUAGGGUAAUGGCCUACCAAGGCUACGACGGAUAGCUGGUCUGAGAGGACGAUCAGCCACACUGGGACUGAGACACGGCCCAGACUCCUACGGGAGGCUGCAGCAGGGAAUAUUGCGCAAUGAGCGAAAGCUUGACGCAGCGACACCGCGUGUGGGAUGACGGAUCUAGGUUUGUAAACCACUUUCAGGAGGGAAGAAAAUGACGGUACCUCCACAAGAAGCCCCGGCCAACUACGUGCCAGCAGCCGCGGUAAUAC
rnacentral:rRNA from 1 species